CCUACGGGAGGCAGCAGUGGGGAAUAUUGCGCAAUGGGCGCAAGCCUGACGCAGCGACGCCACGUGAGGGAUGAAGGUCUUCGGGUCGUAAACCUCUGUCGGCAGGGAAGAACGGUCACUGUGCUAAUCAGCAGUGAAUUGACGGUACCUGCAAAGGAAGCACCGGCUAACUCCGUGCCAGCAGCCGCGGUAAUACGGAGGGUGCGAGCGUUAAUCGGAAUUACUGGGCGUAAAGCGCUCGUAGGCGGUAUGUCAAGUCAUGUGUGAAAUCCCCGCGCUCAACGUGGGAACUGCAUUUCAAACGGGCAAACUAGUGCGUGAGAGAGGAUAGGAGAACUACAGGUGUAGGUGUGA
rnacentral:rRNA from 1 species